UACACGCUGUGACUAGCAUAUCAAUAAGCGGAGGAAAAGAAACUAACAAGGAUUCCCCUAGUAACGGCGAGUGAAGCGGGAAGAGCUCAAAUUUGAAAUCUUAAAGGGUUUCCCUUUACGAAUUGUAGUUUAAAGAAGUGUUUUCUGUUGAGGUUUUGGUAAAAGUUCUUUGGAAUAGGACAUCAUAGAGGGUGAGAAUCCCGUAUUUGACCUUUACUUUCAACUUUGUGAUACACUUUCAAAGAGUCGGAUUGUUUGGGAAUGCAGUCCAAAAUGGGUGGUAAAUUUCAUCUAAAGCUAAAUAUUGGCGAGAGACCGAUAGCGAACAAGUACCGUGAAGGAAAGAUGAAAAGAACUUUGAAAAGAGAGUUAAACAGUACGUGAAAUUGUCAAAAGGGAAGCGUUUGACACCAGUGUUGUUUUUCUGAAAAUCAAUUAAAGAACUGUUUAUGCUAAGCUGUUUAGACUUUAUCAGCUAUCUGUUUAGUUUUGAGCUUUUCUUUAAUGCACUUUUCAGUUAACAAGUCAACAUCAAUUUCUUUUGCUGUAAAAAAGCUUGAGGAAGGUGGCUUGAGAUUCGUCUUAAGUGUUUAUAGCCUCUUGCCUAUGCAGUCGGAGAGAUUGAGGUCUGCAGCGUAGAUCCUUCGGGGCUAAAUGCAUUUGUGCUAAGUUAUAACAUUUUAUAGACAACUUGUUGACUAUGAUUUGUCUUGUAGCUUACUCGCUUAUGUUAUUUUACCUACGCUUAGGAUGUUGACGCGCGUGUGUGCGUG
rnacentral:rRNA from 1 species